UCCAUCCCGACAGCACCUGUGCCGCUCGACUCCCUGCCGGGUAGGUCCAUCCCGACAGCACCUGUGCUACUCGACUCCCCGCCGGCUUUAGGGAAUCGGAAGAGAAGGCUGGACGUGCAGCUCACACCUGUGAUCCCAGCACUUUGGGAGGAGGCCGAGGCGGGAGGAUUGCUUGAGCUCAGGAGUUUGAGACCAGCCUGGGCAACAUAGUGAGACCUCAUCUCUAAAAUAAAUAAAAGACAAUCGGAAAAGAA